GGAACGCUGAAUUAGAGAAUAAAGCGCAGCGACCUGAAAACAGAAACCCUAGAGCCCGGGCAGCGGUUUCGUGGGGCCCGACACCCUUCAGGGCUCUGGUGGGGACUGGGGCACUGCAGACUGCCUGGACACCCGGGCCCUGGCUCAAUCUUUGGCACGAGUCAGGCAAAAUUUGGGACAAUAGUUGGGAUUCCCAGGGUUGAGCGUCCGCUUCCGAAGUGUCUCGUGGCCUGAUAGAUUUCAAAAUCACGAAAGGUUUGGCCAUUGUUCUCCCAACAGCUUAAAGUCACUUAGUCUCGCCUGUACCCCCCGGAGAGGACCCCUGGGAAGUUUUACCUCGGAGAUGUACUGAAGAGUUCCUGGGUUCAACAAACCAUGGAGUUUCCUUUUCUACCCAGACCAGCACAAUGUUUGGAUUCUUGGAAGAGCUUGUCAGACCCUGUGUGGAGGCGAUGUAUGAAAUAAACAUCUUAGUAUCUUGGAUUAUAAUCUCCAGACAUGAUGACAAUUAAAGGAGAGAUGGGGCAGCAGCAUGAAGGCAGAGGCUUUACCCCAUCAGGGUGGUUUUUAGGUGUUAUGAAAACCCAUAAGAGAACUGCUAAACACAGGAUAGUUAAGCCAUGUUUCUGCUGUUGGUCCUGGGAGCACUGCCACCUCUGCUUGCACCUAGGUGGGCACCUGCCAGCUGAUGGGCCCCUUACUUUGCUGUUAACUCGAGAGCAUUCCUGUUAUACACAGGGAUUCUGAACAGGAAGAAGGGCAUUUCUCAGAAGGAACAGGAGGAAACCUUGAACUCCAGAUAAGAAUAAUCAGUCCUUCCAACGUAACUGCGCAUGCCUAGCUGUCAGCCCCACCAGCGUGGACACGUGACUGAAGAACGCAUCAGCCCAGCUGCCUGUAAGGGAAGGGACUUCUGCAUUCUUUUUUAAGCACAGGACUGCCCUCUUGAAUUUUAGUUACGCAUUAUUUAUAACAUGAAAACAAAUGGCAUUUUGUUCCCCCGAGAAGUGACUCAAGCCAAAAAUCAAACUUUUAAAAAUGUUUUAAAAUGUUCAUAAAUUACACAUAAUAGGUUUCAUCGUGAGUUGCUUACUCACUUGGGAGGUUUGCUUCCUGGAAUUUUUUGUUUUUUUCCAUUUUAGGGCCACACCCAUAGCUUAUGGAAGUUCCCAGGCUAGGGGUCAAAUCUUGAGUCAGCGCUGCCGCUGCCGGCCUACACCACAGCCACAGCAACACUAGAUCUGAGCCGUGUCUGCAACGUACACCACAGCUCACGGCAAUGCCGGAUCCUCAACCCACUGAGCAAGGCCGGGCAUCACACCCAAGUCCUCAGGGGUACUAGUUGAGCUCUUAACCUGCUGAGCCACCACGGGAACGCCUCUCGACCUUGAAAAUUGAGUAGGACCGUGACCUUUCCCACGGCCACUUCCCUGGCCGCCCUCCGUCCGAGAGAGGAUGCUCCUGCCACGGACACGACACUUUGCCAGGAGGGAGGAAAACAGCAGGCGGGUUUUCAGGGCUGAGAUGCAUGAAGAAAUGGUGUGUGAUCUGAGGUUGCUUAGAUUAGACAAGAUGACCGUUUCUGAAGAAAUAACUUUUUAUGAAAUGGUUAUCGAAUCUUAAUUACGCUUGAGGAUUACUCAUGAGCGUGUGCUCCUAAACUAUGUGGGUGAAACAAAUCAAUAGUUAGACUUGGGAAUUUGACCGUCCCGCUGAUGAGCCCAGGAUAGUCCACGGGGACAGGGAAUGAAGUCGUCGGGGGCGGGGAGGGGCAUUGGGUCUUCGAGGGGGGAAGGAUCAGGUGUCCCGGAGCCUGUUAACUGCAGACUGGUUCAGAAAUAGGAAAUUAAAAGUCCUAACUACUUUAAUUCAGCCUCAGUUUUUUUAAAGCCUACCAUUUUUAAAAAUCAACUCAUAAAUUAUAGUGUUACUAAAUGAGGAACUUCAAGGGGAAAAGCCUCUGACACAGUAAAGCAUCAGGCUACUUGCAUUUUCUUUUUGUAACCAAGAAGGGCAAAGUGCAUUUUCAUGCCAAGCAGGUUACAGAGGACCUCAGCGAGGACAGACAAUGAUUUAACCUAACUUUAAGUAUCUCCUAAUUAUUUAUGUGUUCCUGACUAGAUUGUUUGCAAGAAGUUCUGUGAUAUUCUGCUUUUUAUUUAUUUAUUUAUUUAUUUGUUGUCUUUUUUAGGGCCGCACCUGCGGCAUAUGGAGACUCCCAGGCUAGGGGUCUAAUCAGAGCUUCAGCCGCUGGCCUACGCCAAAGCCACAGCAACUCGGGACCCAAGCCGCGUCUGUGACCUACACCACAGCUCACAGUGACACCGGAUCCUUAACCCACUGAGCGAGGCCAGGGAUCAAACCUGCAGCCUCAUGGUUCCUAGGCAGAUUCCUUAACCACUGAGCCAUGACAGAAACUCCUGUGAUAUUCUGCUUUUUAAAAAGCUUUUAUUGGCAUCCUUUCUGACGUAUCAAAACCUGAGCUUCUGUAACGCUUCUUUAGGAGACUGAAUGUGCUGAGAAGGUUUGCUCUAGAAAACCAUUCAUUUGAAGUGAAAAACCAUUUCUCAUGGGUAUAGAGUUGGCUGCCCAAGCGUAUUGAUCGCAUUAACUCUGACCUCACUGAUUUUGCUAUAAUUAAAUCAACUGUUAGAAAAUCUGUGUACAUUCUCUUGCCAGGCAAAAUGUUUAUUUAGUAAAAGGUGUUUAUAAAGGAUUUAUGAUUAUUUUUUAAUUCCCAAAGUCUCAGUUCUUCCACACUGGCAGCCUGGAGAUGUGUGCCAGUGGAAGACACUCUCAGACCUCUAAGACAGUAUCUGUACGUAGAGGUCAGAGGCUGAGGCCUCACAGCAAAACUGGAAUACCAGCUGUCUCAUCGACACCUCUGGAAAAACCCCCUGAUCUGCUUAUCUUUUCUUCUGUAAAACUCGAGUCCUUAAAACAUUUUUAAAAAAGUGUUCUUAGUGUCAUAUAUAUUUAUUUUAAUGUAAAUACGUCUCUGUC
rnacentral:lncRNA from 1 species